CAGCAGCCACGGGAAUACGGAGGGUGCAAGCGUUAAUCGGAAUUACUGGGCGUAAAGCGCACGCAGGCGGUCUGACAAGUCAGAUGUGAAAUCCCCGGGCUUAACCUGGGAACUGCAUUUGAAACUGUCAGGCUGGAGUCUUGUAGAGGGGGGUGGAAUUCCAGGUGUAGCGGUGAAAUGCGUAGAGAUCUGGAGGAAUACCGGUGGCGAAGGCGGCCCCCUGGACAAGGACUGACGCUCAGGUGCGAAAGCGUGGGGAGCAAACAGGAUUAGAUACCCCUGUAGUCCCUGUCUCUUAUAC
rnacentral:rRNA from 1 species